rnacentral:misc_RNA from 1 species
GGACGAGGCAGCACGCACGGCGGUCUCGCGACGGUAAUUCAUCUGUCUGAAUCUCUUCAGUGUCGCGUGUGACGCUGGCAGUGUCUUCGUACUCUUGGCGCCCUAAAGCCGAGAAAGGAAAAGCGAGUUCAAGAACCACCUUCACUUCGGGCGCGAGGGGUGCACUCCUGCCCGUGCUCUCCUUCUCCUGCACCGAAAUCAAUGUCCUCGGCCAUCGUGUCGGUGGGGAGCCGGCAGGUCAUUCCAUUGGCGAGUCGGCUGACUGUUGGCAUACGCCUGCAGGGCACGAUCGGCUUCGUCGACCCCGCGAGCCCGUAUGUCGUCAAGCCGCGUCCCUAUGUCUCCUACUUGGCCACGACGCUGCGGCGCCUGCAGUGCGCCGUUGCGUUGUUUGUGCCGACGAACACGGAGCACGACCGGGAGAUGAUGAACAUGUUCUACCGUCGCGACUUCACCGUCCCGUUCCGCUACGUGAAUGAUCAUUCGAAGUUCAUCGGCGCUGGCUCAGGCCGCGGCAACCGCAAGAGAGGCAUGGCGCCGAACAACUACACCGAGUACCUGCGCAUCAUGGCGAACGAGGCGAACGGCACAGGGCAGGACACAAGCCGCAUCCUCUUCAUCGACUCCGAGGUGAACUACCGCUUCACGCCAGUGCAGACCAUCGUCCUCGACGCCUACGAGCCUCUGACGCGGCGGCAGCAACGAAGGCUUGUCCAGCAGCAGUACAGCAACCCCUUCGGUGACGUCUCGUCUCGGCACGCACGGCGCUAUGGGGCAGCUGCGGCGAGGGCGAGAAAGACGACGGUGCGACACCGCGCCGUCGUGAGUGCGCAACACUUGCAGGAUGCUAUGGACAUGCAGCAGAAGUACACAGACUUCCUGAUAGCGGAGCAGGAGGGGGUGCAGCUGCCGCCGGAGAUGCGAGAUGGGGUGCAGGACCGCCAUGGGGACGACCUCAGCCACUUUUCAAAAAGGCGCACACAGCGCUCCGCCUCGUCGUCGCCGCCACAUCCGCAGCAGGGUGGCGGCACGCGCGGUCGUAUUUUGGGGCCGCUAUCGACGCCUGGUCCGUCCUCGUCGGCGGACACCGAGAGCGACAAGACGCCCCCAGACGGCAACAAGGGCAUCAAGGAGGUGCAGCAGCAGCGGCCGAGCAUGUCCUGCGCACUUGCCGUGAGCCUGGAAGACUACAGCCUUGUUGCGCUGGCGGAGAUGAUCGCGGAGAUGUCGGCCAGCGAAACAAGCGUGGCCGACUACAUCAAGACGGAGCCGCUGAUCGAGAAGGUGGAGGUGCCCUUUCACGGCAAGGCGAACUACCUCGCACCCGAGAACUGCGACAACAUCGACCUGCUCAACUGGGACGAGAUCCAGGUAAUGGAGAAGGCGCACAGCACGGGAGUGCCCGAGACGGUAGAGGAGACGGAGGACCACAAGGACUUCUUUCGGUGAGCGAGAGAGGGUGGGGGAGGCAACUUGAUCACGUGGGAAUGUCGGCCUGUCGCUCUCUGUGCGUGUGUGUGUGUGUGUGUACAGCAGGCGGGGAGCCACCUUCGUCUCCUGCCGGGGGUGGGGGAACGCACUCGUUCUGUGCUCGUUCAACGGUGCUUCAAAACCCCUCUUGUCACACCCACCGACACACACACACACACGGGUGUCCUCUAGCUAGCUCCUCUACGCCAUGACGUGGCAGGGCGCGAAGGGGUGCAUGGGGCACAUGUUCACGUCUGCGAACUCCUCACCAUCACCGCCUUUAGUUUUCGCUUACUUUAUGGUCUGCUGUCUGCCUGCAUGUCUGCCGGGAGGAGAGUGGGGAAGGUCUCCCUUGUUUUGUCGAGACGCGCAGGCACCCGCCACACCUCUGGUGUGGUGAUCCUGGUUUGCAGAAGGGUCCCCUGCUACUCUGU